AGAGUUUGAUCAUGGCUCAGGAUGAACGCUAGCGGCAGGCUUAAUACAUGCAAGUCGAGGGGCAACAGGGGUAGCAAUACCUGCUGGCGACCGGCAAACGGGUGCGCAACACGUACAGAACCUUCCUUUAAGCGGGGGAUAGCCCAGAGAAAUUUGGAUUAAUACCCCAUGGUAUUAUUGUCUGGCAUCAGGUAAUAAUUAAAGAUUUAUCACUUAGAGAUGGCUGUGCGUCUGAUUAGGUAGUUGGUGAGGGUAAUGGCCUACCAAGCCUUCGAUCAGUAACUGGUGUGAGAGCACGACCAGUCACACGGGCACUGAGACACGGGCCCGACUCCUACGGGAGGCAGCAGUAAGGAAUAUUGGUCAAUGGACGCAAGUCUGAACCAGCCAUGCCGCGUGAAGGAUGAAGGUCCUCUGGAUUGUAAACUUCUUUUAUGUGGGAAGAAAUGUCCGGAUUAUUCUGGAUUUGACGGUACCAUAGGAAUAAGCACCGGCUAACUCCGUGCCAGCAGCCGCGGUAAUACGGAGGGUGCGAGCGUUAUCCGGAUUCACUGGGUUUAAAGGGUGCGUAGGUGGGAAUGUAAGUCAGUGGUGAAAUCUCCGUGCUUAACAUGGAAACUGCCAUUGAUACUAUGUUUCUUGAAUUUUCCGGAGGUUAGCGGAAUAUGUCUGUAGCGGUGAAAUGCUUAGAUAUGACAUAGAACACCAAUUGCGAAGGCAGCUAACUACAGGGAUAUUGACACUGAGGCACGAAAGCGUGGGGAUCAAACAGGAUUAGAUACCCUAGUAGUCC
rnacentral:rRNA from 1 species